rnacentral:rRNA from 1 species
CUGGCGGCGUGCCUAAUACAUGCAAGUCGAACGGUCUUUCUAUGGAAGCUUGCUUCCACUGAGAAGAUAGUGGCGAACGGGUGAGUAACACGUGGGUAACCUGCCCAUAAGAGGGGGGAUAACAUCCGGAAACGGGUGCUAAUACCGCAUAGUUUUCUUGAUCGCAUGAUCGGGAAAGGAAAGACGGCCUUUGUGCUGUCGCUUAUGGAUGGACCCGCGGCGUAUUAGUUAGUUGGUGAGGUAACGGCUCACCGAGACGAUGAUACGUAGCCGACCUGAGAGGGUGAUCGGCCACAUUGGGACUGAGACACGGCCCAAACUCCUACGGGAGGCAGCAGUAGGGAAUCUUCCGCAAUGGACGAAAGUCUGACGGAGCAACGCCGCGUGAGUGAAGAAAGGUUUUCGGAUCGUAAAACUCUGUUGUCAGAGAAGAACAAGUUGGAGAGUAACUGCUCCAGCCUUGACGGUAUCUGACCAGAAAGCCACGGCUAACUACGUGCCAGCCGCCGC